CCUACGGGAGGCAGCAGUGGGGAAUAUUGGGCAAUGGGCGCAAGCCUGACCCAGCAACGCCGCGUGAAGGAAGAAGGCUUUCGGGUUGUAAACCUCUUUUCGUAGGGACGAAGAAAGUGGCGGUACCCUAGGAAUAAGCUACGGCUAACUACGUGUAAGGAGCCGUGGUAAUACGUAGGUGGCAAGCGUUAUCCGGAUUUAUUGGGUGUAAAGUGCGUGUAGGUGGGAAAGCAAGUCAGAUGUGAAAGCUCAGGGCUCAACCCUGAGACUGCAUUAGAAACUGUUUGUCUUGAGUGCAGGAGAGGCGAGCGGAAUUCCUUGUGUAGCGGUGGAAUGCGUAGAUAUACGGAGGAACACCAGUGGCGAAGGCGGAUUGCUGGACUGUAACUGACGCUGAGGCGCGAAAGCGUGGGGAGCAAACAGGAUUAGAUACCCGUGUAGUC
rnacentral:rRNA from 1 species